CUCCGUGUCUGGUCGCAAUUACAAAGCAUUUAAAAACAAUAACAAUAAAGUUUUAAGUAUCAGGCGUGACAUUAAAAGCAGACGCUUUAAUGCUCCACCUGAGAGUAAAUCUGUAAGGCUUGUUACCAGCAUUCAGACAUCAAUUCUGCUUGCUUCACAGCCAGACAGGACACGGUAAAUAAAAAUAAAUAAAUAAAUAAAUUAGAUUACUGCCCCAGACUGCAGCCAGCAACAGACCAGACCGCGUGAAUCCAGAAACCAACAGUCUUAUCUUCUUUAUUCCUGUUUGCUGUGGCCCUCUCCAUCCUCACUGGCUGAGCUGCAGAUAUCUGCAUUUUUCUGACUAGCUGGCUUCACUUAUGACUGCAGACAAAAAAAGAGUAAAACAUAAAACUACUGGUUAAAAGUAUUGAUUUUCUAUCAUUUAGAAGUUUUGCUUUAGCAUUUUUAAUUAUUAUGACAUGAGUUGUAAUUUUAACACCAUGUAUUUAAUUGAAAUAGGAGAAAUAUCAGAUGUUUAAUAAAUCACAAACAUUUGGAAUGUUUUAAUAAACUGUAAAGCCUUAGUUUAUAAAUAAAAAAUGUUUAUUUAGAUGUUGAGGACGACACAAAUCAUUGAUGAUGUGUAACUAAACUUCAUUUUUUGAUUCAACAAACAAGUACAAAGUCUCAAGUCCUUUUACCUUGUAGUAUCACAGUAAUAUUUGAGCACGGCAAACAAAAGAUGUAUUUAAGGCUUGAGUCACAAAGAAAGCACAAAGCUGACCUGCAGAGCCUGACAGGAAAUGGAUGUAACAGUGAUUUUUACACUGUUGUUAAUCUGCUCUCUUACUGAGGCUCAGCUUCAACAACAACCUGAUCCUAACUCAAAUUCAUAUUUGAAGCCAGCAGGUUCCCAUGUAGAAGCAGGAAAUCCCUCAGAGCACCAACAAACAUGUACACAGGACAUCAAUGCUGUACUGAGAGAGAUGAGUGCCUCGCUGGCUGGACUGAAGGUGGAGGUGAAGUACUUACAGAAAGAAAAUGAAGCUAAAACACGAGAACUGGAGCUGCAGAAGCAACAGGACCAAGCUAAAACACGAGAACUGGAGCUGCUGAAACAACAGGACCAAGGUAUUGGAAACGAUGAAAAAAAAACAGUAGAUGUAAAAGUUACAAAUCAGAAAUAAGAAGGGCCUUUUUACUUGUAAGUGCUACUUUUGGUUACUGUUUAAAAACCAGUUAAUUGUUUUCUUAAUUUU
rnacentral:lncRNA from 1 species